AGUCGAGCGAAUCGACGGGAGCUUGCUCCCUGAGAUUAGCGGCGGACGGGUGAGUAACACGUGGGCAACCUGCCUAUAAGACUGGGAUAACUUCGGGAAACCGGAGCUAAUACCGGAUACGUUCUUUUCUCGCAUGAGAGAAGAUGGAAAGACGGUUUACGCUGUCACUUAUAGAUGGGCCCGCGGCGCAUUAGCUAGUUGGUGAGGUAAUGGCUCACCAAGGCGACGAUGCGUAGCCGACCUGAGAGGGUGAUCGGCCACACUGGGACUGAGACACGGCCCAGACUCCUACGGGAGGCAGCAGUAGGGAAUCUUCCGCAAUGGACGAAAGUCUGACGGAGCAACGCCGCGUGAACGAAGAAGGCCUUCGGGUCGUAAAGUUCUGUUGUUAGGGAAGAACAAGUACCAGAGUAACUGCUGGUACCUUGACGGUACCUAACCAGAAAGCCACGGCUAACUACGUGCCAGCAGCCGCGGUAAUACGUAGGUGGCAAGCGUUGUCCGGAAUUAUUGGGCGUAAAGCGCGCGCAGGUGGUUCCUUAAGUCUGAUGUGAAAGCCCACGGCUCAACCGUGGAGGGUCAUUGGAAACUGGGGAACUUGAGUGCAGAAGAGGAAAGUGGAAUUCCAAGUGUAGCGGU
rnacentral:rRNA from 2 species